rnacentral:rRNA from 1 species
GGCUCAGGAUGAACGCUGGCGGCGUGCUUAACACAUGCAAGUCGAACGAAGAUGCCGGAGUGCUUGCACUUUGGCAGACUGAGUGGCGGAUGGGUGAGUAACGCGUGGGUAACCUGCCUUGUACAGGGGGAUAACAGUUGGAAACGGCUGCUAAUACCGCAUAAGCGCACGGCAUCGCAUGAUGCAGUGUGAAAAACUCCGGUGGUAUAAGAUGGACCCGCGUUGGAUUAGCUAGUUGGUGAGGUAACGGCCCACCAAGGCGACGAUCCAUAGCCGACCUGAGAGGGUGACCGGCCACAUUGGGACUGAGACACGGCCCAAACUCCUACGGGAGGCAGCAGUGGGGAAUAUUGCACAAUGGGCGAAAGCCUGAUGCAGCGACGCCGCGUGAGCGAAGAAGUAUUUCGGUAUGUAAAGCUCUAUCAGCAGGGAAGAUAAUGACGGUACCUGACUAAGAAGCACCGGCUAAAUACGUG